rnacentral:tRNA from 1 species
GGGGCAGUAGCUCAGCCGGUUAGAGCAGCGGACUCAUAAUCCGUCGGUCCAGGGUUCAAGCCCCUGCUGCCCCACCA